rnacentral:rRNA from 1 species
AAGCGAUGGGGUGACGCAGGAAGGUAGCUGGGCCAGUCAGUGGUUGUACUGGUGUAAGAGUGUAGGCCGUGACAUAGGCAAAUCCGUGUCACAUUAAGGCUGAGACUUGAUGCAUACCCGUUGUGGGGAAUUCAGUGAUCCUAUGCUGCCGAGAAAAGCCUCUAGUGAGUUCAUACACGGCCCGUACCCCAAACCGACACAGGUGAUCAGGUAGAGAAUACCAAGGCGAUCGAGAGAACUGGGGUUAAGGAACUCGGCAAAAUGCCCCCGUAACUUCGGGAGAAGGGGGACCAUGCCCGGUGAACAUCUUCACGGUGGGAGCUGGGUGUGGUCGCAGAGACCAGAGAGAAGCGACUGUUUACUAAAAACACAGGUCCGUGCGAAGACGUAAGUCGAUGUAUACGGACUGACGCCUGCCCGGUGCUGGAAGGUUAAGAGGACCGGUUAGCCGUAAGGCGAAGCUGAGAAUUUAAGCCCCAGUAAACGGCGGUGGUAACUAUAACCAUCCUAAGGUAGCGAAAUUCCUUGUCGGGUAAGUUCCGACCUGCACGAAUGGCGUAACGACUUCUCUGCUGUCUCGACCACAGACUCGGCGAAAUUGCACUACGAGUAAAGAUGCUCGUUACGCGCGGCAGGACGAAAAGACCCCGGGACCUUUACUAUAGCUUGGUAUUGGCGUUCGAUUCGGUUUGUGUAGGAUAGGUGGGAGACUGUGAAGCAUGCACGCCAGUGUGUGUGGAGUCGUUGUUGAAAUACCACUCUGAUCGUAUUGGACGUCUAACCUCGGCCCAUGAUCUGGGUUAGGGACAGUGCCUGGUGGGUAGUUUAACUGGGGCGGUUGCCUCCUAAAGAGUAACGGAGGCGCCCAAAGGUUCCCUCAGCCUGGAUGGCAAUCAGGUGUUGAGUGCAAGUGCACAAGGGAGCUUGACUGUGAGACUGACACGUCGAGCAGGGACGAAAGUCGGGACUAGUGAUCCGGCACCGGCAAGUGGAAGCGGUGUCGCUCAACGGAUAAAAGGUACCCCGGGGAUAACAGGCUGAUCUUCCCCAAGAGUCCAUAUCGACGGGAUGGUUUGGCACCUCGAUGUCGGCUCGUCGCAUCCUGGGGCUGGAGUAGGUCCCAAGGGUUGGGCUGUUCGCCCAUUAAAGCGGCACGCGAGCUGGGUUUAGAACGUCGUGAGACAGUUCGGUCUCUAUCCGCCGCGCGCGUAAGAAACUUGAGGAAGGCUGUCCCUAGUACGAGAGGACCGGGACGGACGAACCUCUGGUGUGCCAGUUGUUCCACCAGGAGCAUGGCUGGUUAGCUACGUUCGGAAGGGAUAACCGCUGAAAGCAUCUAAGCGGGAAGCCUGUUCCAAGAUGAGGUUUCUCACCACCUUGCGUGGUUAAGGCCCCCUACAGACCAUGGGGUUGAUAGGCCGGAACUGGAAGCGCAGCAAUGCGUGGAGGUGACCGGUACUAAUAGGCCGAGGGCGU